CCUACGGGAGGCAGCAGUGGGGAAUAUUGGACAAUGGGCGAAAGCCUGAUCCAGCCAUGCCGCGUGUGUGAAGAAGGCCCUCGGGUCGUAAAGCACUUUAAGUUGGGAGGAAGGGCUCGUAGCGAAUACCUGUGAGUUUUGACGUUACCAACAGAAUAAGCACCGGCUAACUUCGUGCCAGCAGCCGCGGUAAU
rnacentral:rRNA from 1 species